AUGGGGCCUCUGGGCAUCCUGCUGCUCAUCUUCAAUGUCUCUGACCAGAUGGGGGGCUUCUACCUCUGCCAACCAGGGCCCCCCUCCAAGAAUGCCUGGCAGCCUGGCUGGACAGUGAGCGUGGAGGGCAGCGGUGAGGGCUGGGCCGGGCGCAGCUGGGUGAGAAGGGGGAGGCCAACCUGGGACCGGGCUGGGGGUGUCCAGCAGCCAGAGAAGGGCUGGAGGCCAAGGGGCAAGCAAGGAGCUAACUCCUGGCUGCCAGCUCUGUCCUCGUCCCCUGCCUCUGCCUCUGGAUCUCUCCCCUCCUCACGUCCUUCCUGUCUGGUCCUGGGUCUCUUCCCAGGGAAGCUGUUCCGCUGGAAUACUUCAGACUUAGGGGAUCUAAGCUGUGGCCUGGGGAACGGGUCUUCAGGGGGGCCCAGGCUCUCGCCUCAUCACCCCAACAACUCCCAGCUGUAUGUGUGGAACCAAGGCCACCCUGAGAUCUGGGAGGCAGAGCCCGUGUGUGCCCCACCGAGGGGCAGUCUCAAAGAGAGCCUCACUCAGGACCUCACUGUGGCCCCAGGCUCCACACUCUGGCUGUCCUGUGGGGCACCCACCACCCACGUGACCAGAGGCCCCAUCUCCUGGACCCGGGUGCAACCUAAGAAACCUAAUGCCACACUGCUGAACCUCUAUGUGAGGGAGAAGCCCCCAGUGCAAGAGAUGUGGGUCCUGGGGCCUGUUCUGUCCCUGUCCCAGGCCACUGUUCAAGCCACCGGUACCUACUAUUGUCUCCGUGGCAACCUGACCACCGAGAUACAAGUGAAGGUCAUUCCCCAGCCAGCUUGGCAGUGGCUGCUGAGGAAUGGUGGCUGGAAGCUCCCAGUGGUGCCUGUGGUUUACCUGACCUUCUGCCUGGGCUCUCUGGUGGCCUUUCUUCACAUCCGAAGAGCCCUGGUCCUGAGGAGGAAAAGGAAGCGAAUGACCGACCCCACCAGGAGAUUCUUCAAAGUGACUCCUCCCCCAGGAAACGGGACCCAGAACCAGUACGGAAACGUGCUGUCCCUUCCCACGCCCACCUCCGGCACAGGGCGUGCGCAGCGGUGGGCGGCAGCCCUGGGGGGCCCCGUGCAGCCCUACGGAAAUCCACACGCCGCCGACGUCCCGGAGGCCGGAGCCGCGAGCCCCCCGACAGCAGGCGUGGAAGAGGAGGAAGGGGAGGCCUACGAGGAGCCCGACAGCGAGGAGGGCUCCGAGUUCUAUGAGAACGACUCCAGCCUCGGGCAGGACCGGCUCUCCCGGGAUGGCAGCGGCUAUGAGAACCCGGAGGUCCGGUCCGUGGGGCCUGCGGAUGAGGACUCCUUCUCCAACGCUGAAUCUUACGAGAACGCGGAUGAAGAGAUGGCCCCGCCGGCAGCCAGGCCGACAGACUUCCUGAGCCCCCAGGGGUCCGCCUGGGACCCCAGCCGGGAAGCAACCUCGCUAGGGUCCCAGUCCUAUGAGGAUAUGAGAGGGAUCCUGUAUGCAGCCCCACAGCUCCGCUCCCUUCAGCCUGGUCCUCAUCACGAGGAAGAUGCAGAUUCUUACGAGAACAUGGAUAAUCCCGAUGAGCCAGGACUGGCAUGGGGGGGAGGGGACCACAUGGGGGUCUGGAGUACCAGGUGACUCCCAAGUGACCAGAGGCAGUGAGAGACUUGGCAGCUGCUUUUGCUAGAGAGAGACAGACAGACAGACAGAGACACGACACUUCACUUGGGCCUGGGCCUACUGAUGCUCAAUGGAUAACUAAAAUCAGAACAAAGCUUGACCUACAUUUUGCUUGUGUCUCCUUUGUUACCCUGACGCUUUUCUUUGAGAUCCUGGGUCAGCUGUACCUAUAGACAUGUUGAUCAUUUAGGGUGUGUCUGUUAAAAGCUGGCAAUACAAGAUUGAUUAGCCCUAAAUUUACAUAAACCUUCUCACUCACUCAAGACUGAGGACACAAAGAUAAGAGUUUUGCAGGGACAUUCAACUACCAGUGUGUGCCCAGAAGUCACCAGUCACCUUGGAGUCCAGCAGAGCCUCUGCAAUACUGAGUCAGAAGCAGUCACCUCUUCUCCUCUGGCGGUGCUGCAAAACCAGGACUGUGAGGAAGAUGACCCACCAGACCUCUGGGCUCUGCUCCUCUAUAGCAGCAGGCCUUGUUCCUUUGUUAAUGGGCCAGUCUGAUCUUCACCAGACAUGUGCUUCCUUCAGCUCCUCCAGCUGAAACCCCUUUCCUAUUUUCUGUUACUUUCUAACUCUUAUCUAAUAAAUCAGCUGAUGCCUCUCAGUGACGUCCUGAAAUGCUUUUCUGCGAUGGUAUGUCAAAAGUUUGCUGUACCGAGUUGAGGUUCCCA
ensembl:lincRNA